rnacentral:rRNA from 1 species
UGGGGAAUAUUGCACAAUGGGGGAAACCCUGAUGCAGCGACGCCGCGUGAGCGAAGAAGGCUUUCGAGUCGUAAAGCCCUGUCCUAUGAGAAGAUAAUGACGGUAUCAUAGGAGGAAGCCCUGGCUAAAUACGUGCCAGCAGCCGCGGUAAUACGUAUGGGGCGAGCGUUGUCCGGAAUUAUUGGGCGUAAAGGGUACGUAGGCGGUUUUUUAAGUCAGGUGUCAAAGCGUGGAGCUUAACUCCAUUAAGCACUUGAAACUGAAAGACUUGAGUGAAGGAGAGGAAAGUGGAAUUCCUAGUGUAGCGGUGAAAUGCGUAGAUAUUAGGAGGAAUACCGGUGGCGAAGGCGACUUUCUGGACUUUUACUGACGCUCAGGUACGAAAGCGUGGGGAGCAAACAGG